AGGCAUCCAUCAUGAGACCCAUCGUGAUGGGUUUAUGCCAUCUCAGUUUAAUUCAAAGGAAAUUCUGCACAUCAGUUGUUAUUCUUUGACAGUUUUUUUUUUAUUUCUUCUGUUGUCAUUUCAGUGCAGGGAGAGUCUUCAAAUUUUUAAGAUACAUUGGUUGCCCUCUAUUUCUUAUGCAACACUGGAAGCAUCACAAAAGUCUGCUUACAAGUGAGAAUGCUGUCCUACCUAAUGAGUGCAAUGCUCUGGUUUGGGGCACAGGAUUUCAUUCCCAGCUCUGUUACUGGCCUGCUUGUGACCAUAUGACAAGGAUGCAGCUCCGUGUGGCUGCAUCUUUGGUAAAAACAGUAAGUCUAGGUCAGUGUCACCAAAUUAAAUGGGUGAAAAAUGCAGCUUACUUAUUGUGGUUUAAAUUCUGAUCCACAUUCUUUAAAGAAUGAAAAUUGCAAAGGCUAGUGACUCUGAAUAAAAAUGAUAUUUUUCUUAGGUAUGCAGUUUCUCCUGCUGUUGCCAAUUAGAAUUCUACAUGUACUUUCAAAAUUGGACUUCAAAUCUUGGGCAUGGCAUUUUUUUCCAGCUUAGCCUAUAAGGAAAAAAAUGGCUUUGAACUCUUAACCAGGACAUUUUAAGAGGGAAAGAAGGAAAAAAUUCUUUCAUUCUUGAUAUCUGGCAUCCUUUAUUUUUUUGUC